GCAGUCUGUUGGGCAAACAAAUCUUUCCAGAGAAAACAGAUCUGUUUCCAAAUCAGUCAACUGUGCUGAGCUGGAAAGGAAGAAAUUUUAUUUUUUCAGGAUGAAAGCAAAACAAGAUCCUUCCCUGUUUACCCUUCUCACCCAUUUCUAAAGAAGCUGCAGAGAAGCUACUCUGGGUUGUAACAGCACGCGCCACUGACCUGGUCACACUCUGAAGGUAUUCCUGGAAGCACUACCUCUGGAGGCCUAACAGAAAGAUAUCUGCUGCCCACCUCUUCAUAAGCUGCAUGUGUUUCAAUGAUCACAGGAUCUUUUCCUUCCCAGAGGCUAGUGAAGAUUAGAAAGAAAAAAAAACGCACUCGUGAUAAAAUGUUCUCUGAGCUCAUGCUGUCCUCCCACACUGACAGAGCACAGAUGAAUGCGUGGAGGCAAAUAAUGUCAGAGUGCAGGAAAGCACAAAAUGACCGGGAGGAGAGGUGGCGGGCUGAAGACAGGGCUGAAGCUCAAAUGCGGCGUCAGCGUGAUGAGAGGAGGCAGGAUUCAAUGCUGAGGCUGCUGGAGGACCAAACCAGUAUGCUCCAGUGUAUGGUUGAGUGGCAGCAAAGGCAGCUGGAGCACAGACUGCCACUACAGCCCCUGUGUAACCAACCGUCCUCCUCCCCAAGUUCCAUAGCCUCCACACCCAGACGCCCAAGAACACGGUGGGGGGGCCACCGGCCAACCAGCCACUCUGCCACAGAGGAU